rnacentral:rRNA from 1 species
UACGAAGGGGACUAGCGUUGUUCGGAAUUACUGGGCGUAAAGCGCACGUAGGCGGAUUUGUUAGUCAGGGGUGAAAUCCCGGGGCUCAACCUCGGAACUGCCUUUGAUACUGCAAGUCUCGAGUCCGAUAGAGGUGGGUGGAAUUCCUAGUGUAGAGGUGAAAUUCGUAGAUAUUAGGAAGGACACCGGUGGCGAAGGCGGCCCACUGGAUCGGUACUGACGCUGAGGUGCGAAAGCGUGGGGAGCAAACAGG